rnacentral:rRNA from 1 species
CGGAUUGGAGUCUGCAACUCGACUCCAUGAAGUCGGAAUCGCUAGUAAUCGUGGAUCAGAAUGCCACGGUGAAUACGUUCCCGGGCCUUGUACACACCGCCCGUCACACCAUGGGAGUGAGUUGCAAAAGAAGUAGGUAGCUUAACCUUCGGGAGGGCGCUUACCACUUUGUGAUUCAUGACUGGGGUGAAGUCGUAACAAGGUAACCGUAGGGGAACCUGCGGUUGGA